rnacentral:rRNA from 1 species
UGGGGAAUAUUGCACAAUGGGCGAAAGCCUGAUGCAGCGACGCCGCGUGCGGGAUGAAGGCCUUCGGGUUGUAAACCGCUUUUGAUUGGGAGCAAGCGAGAGUGAGUGUACCUUUCGAAUAAGCACCGGCUAACUACGUGCCAGCAGCCGCGGUAAUACGUAGGGUGCAAGCGUUAUCCGGAAUUAUUGGGCGUAAAGAGCUCGUAGGCGGUUUGUCGCGUCUGGUGUGAAAGUCCAUCGCUUAACGGUGGAUCUGCGCCGGGUACGGGCAGGCUGGAGUGCAGUAGGGGAGACUGGAAUUCCCGGUGUAACGGUGGAAUGUGUAGAUAUCGGGAAGAACACCAAUGGCGAAGGCAGGUCUCUGGGCUGUUACUGACGCUGAGGAGCGAAAGCGUGGGGAGCGAACAGG